CCUACGGGGGGCAGCAGUGGGGAAUAUUGGACAAUGGGGGCGACCCUGAUCCAGCCAUGCCGCGUGUGUGAAGAAGGCCCUCGGGUUGUAAAGCACUUUCAGUGAGGAAGAACGCCUGGUGGUUAAUACCCAUCAGGAAAGACAUCACUCACAGAAGAAGCACCGGCUAACUCCGUGCCAGCAGCCGCGGUAAUACGGAGGGUGCGAGCGUUAAUCGGAAUUACUGGGCGUAAAGCGCGCGUAGGUGGCUUGAUAAGCCGGUUGUGAAAGCCCCGGGCUCAACCUGGGAACGGCAUCCGGAACUGUCAAGCUAGAGUGCAGGAGAGGAAGGUAGAAUUCCCGGUGUAGCGGUGAAAUGCGUUGAGAUCGGGAGGAAUACCAGUGGCGAAGGCGGCCUUCUGGACUGACACUGACACUGAGGUGCGAAAGCGUGGGUAGCAAACAGGAUUAGAUACCCUAGUAGUC
rnacentral:rRNA from 1 species